GAUGAACGCUGGCGGCGUGCUUAACACAUGCAAGUCGAACGGUGAAGGCGGAGCUUGCUCUGCUGGAUCAGUGGCGAACGGGUGAGUAACACGUGAGCAAUCUGCCCCUGACUCUGGGAUAAGCGCUGGAAACGGCGUCUAAUACUGGAUACGAGCUGCGACGGCAUCUUCAGCAGCUGGAAAGAAUUUCGGUCAGGGAUGGGCUCGCGGCCUAUCAGCUUGUUGGUGAGGUAAUGGCUCACCAAGGCGUCGACGGGUAGCCGGCCUGAGAGGGUGACCGGCCACACUGGGACUGAGACACGGCCCAGACUCCUACGGGAGGCAGCAGUGGGGAAUAUUGCACAAUGGGCGAAAGCCUGAUGCAGCAACGCCGCGUGAGGGACGACGGCCUUCGGGUUGUAAACCUCUUUUAGCAGGGAAGAAGCGAAAGUGACGGUACCUGCAGAAAAAGCGCCGGCUAACUACGUG
rnacentral:rRNA from 1 species